UUUAAGUGUAACCAUGAGUUUCCGUGCCCAACUUGGAUCGUAUGUCUUAUUUGAAAUUUUUUUAUAAUUAGUAUUUUUAUUAUUAUGAGAUGAUAAAACAUGAAAUUAUGUGUGACUUAUGUUUUUAUUUUUUUUCAAAAAAUUCUCAAAUAAUACGAACGAUUAAAGUUGGGCACGAAAAAUCAUGGUUGCACUUAAA
rfam:Oryza glaberrima chromosome 10 Oglab10_0105_1, whole genome shotgun sequence.